CACAUCCGGUAGUCUUUCCUCUGAAACUCUUGCCUGCCCUCCAGCCGAAUAUGGAGUCACCACACUCGAAUUACUUCUGUAUUCUUGGAUCUUGCUUCUCUGAAUGGAAAGAACACGUAGGCUAGUGCACGUGGCAGUAGGCUGUCAUGAAAAUGACAGCUGAAAGCAUGCAGGACGAAUUUUUCGUGGAUCUUCAGAACAACUCAUCAAAUAGACUGCUUUCGACAGACACCCAUCAUUUAUGGGUGUGUGAUGAUGACAUUGGUCUGUUUUGUACAACACUUGCUUCAGUGAACUGAAAUGGUGAUACGCCUUGCAAGGUUGUAGCAAGGCUUGACCAAGGAGACGGAGAGGUUCAAAGGAAGAAAGUUACCUUGACCUUCACCUUGAAGAACAGCAAGUUGGUGCAGAGAAGAAUGUCCGUCAGGAGUCCCUUAUGGCGUUGCACUGUCUCAGUCUGAGUGUCUGAGUCUGACUUAGGCUGAUUAUUUCAGUGUGCUUUAUGUUUAUAUAUUUACAUAUGACCUGUAAAAUAAGACUAAAAAGAAAAUCAAAAUGAUUUUCUUAGCUUAUACAUCAUUGGUGAAUGUUUGUAAAUGAUGAAUGGCCCUUCCUGUAUGACUGUAGAAGUACUGUGUGUCGUGUUGCUGUGAGCUGUAUGUACCAAGAAACUCAGUGAGGCAUUUUCCCUUUCUUGCCUUUCUCCCACUGUGAUGCAUUAUUCCUCAUUUGAGUUGCUUUCGAUAAAAUGGUCUGCCAUACGUCUGAAUGUAAAUUUAAAUGUUGUAGCCUACAGUAAUAUAAUAACUUUCAAAUUUGUGUUCUUUUCUGUUCUGUUCUGUUCUGUAACAAAUAAAAGUUUAAAAUGUUAA